rnacentral:rRNA from 1 species
GAUGAACGCUGGCGGCGUGCCUAACACAUGCAAGUCGAACGAAGCACCUUACCUGAUUCUUCGGAUGAAAGUUUGGUGACUGAGUGGCGGACGGGUGAGUAACGCGUGGGUAACCUGCCCUGUACAGGGGGAUAACAGCUGGAAACGGCUGCUAAUACCGCAUAAGCGCACGAGGAGACAUCUCCUUGUGUGAAAAACUCCGGUGGUACAGGAUGGGCCCGCGUCUGAUCAGCUGGUUGGCAGGGUAACGGCCUACCAAGGCAACGAUCAGUAGCCGGUCUGAGAGGAUGAACGGCCACAUUGGAACUGAGACACGGUCCAAACUCCUACGGGAGGCAGCAGUGGGGAAUAUUGCACAAUGGGGGAAACCCUGAUGCAGCAACGCCGCGUGAGUGAAGAAGUAUUUCGGUAUGUAAAGCUCUAUCAGCAGGGAAGAUAAUGACGGUACCUGACUAAGAAGCUCCGGCUAAAUACGUG